rnacentral:tRNA from 1 species
GCUCUUGUAGCAUAGUUGGUUAAUGCGUAGUGCUUAUAGUUACAACUAUACUCGAGUCACGCUAAGAUCGCGAGUUCGAUCCUCGCCUAGAGCA